GGCGGGACCGGCCCCGCCCCGAACCAACCGCGGCACCGCCCCGGGACAGCCCCGGUACAGCCCCGAACCAACCGCGGUACUGCCCCGGGACAGCCCCGGGACAGGCCCGGUACAGCCCCGAACCAACCGCGGUACCGCCCCGGGACAGGCCCGGGACAGCCCCGGCACCGCCCCGGCACCGCCCCGGCACCGCCCCGAACCAACCGCGGCACCGCCCCGGGACAGCCCCGGCACCGCCCCGGCACCGCCCCGAACCAACCGCGGUACCGCCCCGGUACCGCCCCGGCACCGCCCCGGGACAGCCCCGGCACCGCCUCGGCACCGCCCCGGCACCGCCCCGGCACCGCCCCGGGACAGCCCCGGCACCGCCCCGGCACCGCCCCGACACCGCCCCGGUACCGCCCCGGGACAGCCCCGGCACCGCCCCGGCACCGCCCCGGCACCGCCCCGGCACCGCCCCGGGACAGCCCCGGCACCGCCUCGGCACCGCCCCGGCACCGCCCCGGUACCGCCCCGGGACAGGCCCGGCACCGCCCCGGCACCGCCCCGGCACCGCCCCGGCACCGCCCCGGCACCGCCCCGGCACCGCCCCGGCACCGCCCCGGCCCCGCCGUGUCCCGGGUUAGCCUCGCCGCGGUGAGCCUUGUCCCGCACCGGGCUGAGUCGGGCCCGGGGUCGGUUCCCCGAAGCCGGGGCUGCCCUGAGCGGGCAGGAGCCUCCCUGGCUGUGGGAACGGCCUGUCCUGGGCAGCGGCAGCAGCCCCGGCCUGGAGAAUCUGUCCCUCAGGAAGGGACAGACGGGACUGCCUGGCUGGGGGCGCCUCUGCAUCGUGUUAGGUUGGACAUUAGGAGGAAUUUCUCCGUGGAAAGGGUGGUCAGGCCUUGGCAGGGGCUGCCCAGGGAGGUUUGGAGUCCCCAGCCCUGGAGAUGGCACUCGGUGCUCUGGGCUGGUGACGAGGUGGGAAUAUCUGGGAUGAGUGCCUGGGAACAGGAGGGACUAUUCACAGUGAUCUGGAGAUGUUUGCCUUACACAUCACAUCGUCCCUGCCGCAGGCUACUUCACCACCCCGUUUAUUUUUCACAGGUUCCGAGGAAGGUAGUGAGGUUUCAGGUAAAUACAAGGGUGUAA
rnacentral:lncRNA from 1 species